rnacentral:rRNA from 1 species
GACGAACGCUGGCGGCGUGCUUAACACAUGCAAGUCGAGCGGUAAGGCCUCUUCGGGGGUACACGAGCGGCGAACGGGUGAGUAACACGUGGGUGACCUGCCCUCAGCUCUGGGAUAAGCCUGGGAAACUGGGUCUAAUACCGGAUAUGACCUUUCCUCGCAUGGGGUUUGGUGGAAAGUUUUUUCGGCUGGGGAUGGGCCCGCGGCCUAUCAGCUUGUUGGUGGGGUGAUGGCCUACCAAGGCGACGACGGGUAGCCGGCCUGAGAGGGCGACCGGCCACACUGGGACUGAGACACGGCCCGGACUCCUACGGGAGGCAGCAGUGGGGAAUAGUGCGCAAUGGGCGGGAGCCUGACGCAGCGACGCCGCGUGGGGGAUGGCGGCCUUCGGGUUGUAAACCUCUUUCGACCCCGACGAAUUUGGACGGUAGGGGUAGAAGAAGCACCGGCCAACUACGUG